AACGAACGCUGGCGGCAUGCCUAACACAUGCAAGUCGAACGAGACCUUCGGGUCUAUUGGCGCACGGGUGCGUAACGCGUGGGAACCUGCCCUUAGGUUCGGAAUAACUCCCCGAAAGGUGUGCUAAUACCGGUUAAUGUCUUCGGACCAAAGAUUUAUCGCCUUUGGAUGGGCCCGCGUUGGAUUAGAUUGUUGGUAGGGUAAAAGCCUACCAAGGCGACGAUCCAUAGCUGGUCUGAGAGGAUGAUCAGCCACACUGGGACUGAGACACGGCCCAGACUACUACGGGAGGCAGCAGUGGGGAAUAUUGGAAAAUGGGCGAAAGCCUGAUCCAGCAAUGCCGCGUGAGUGAUGAAGGCCUUAGGGUUGUAAAGCUCUUUUACACGGGAUGAUAAUGACAGUACCGGGAGAAUAAGCGCCGGCUAACUCCGUG
rnacentral:rRNA from 1 species